ensembl:lncRNA
GGAUUCAGGAGCUGAGCCUGGGAGACCAAGAUGCCCCAUCCAACUUCUACCAGUGAGUUCUAAGACCUUGGACCUUAGGAAGCCCGGGAGGGACCGGCCCCAGGAGCAUAAGGGGGUUCAGUUUCCCAGGAAGCCAUCCUGGGUAGCUCCUCAGGGUAUUCUCCCCACUGCUGCAACUCAGGGCAGCUGCUGGAGGUGGGUAGGUGGGAGGCAGCUUCGAAAGCCUGGGUCCUAGAUGGGGGUGUCACCCUCCAGCUACCACAGUAAUGCCUUGAGUGUCUGCCAAGUUCCCCUGUGGAUAGUCAGGAAUGUUUCCCCUUUCCCAGGGCAUCCGUUCAUCAGAGGCUUGGGAUCUCUCUCACCAGACCUGGGAACAGUGAACUGGAAGAGAGACCAGCUUCUCCAAAGUCCCUGAACCUCCCUGCCUUGGAAUCAACGUCAAGAGACGGUGGUUCCCCCCUCACUGUGGAAAGUGACAUGGACCUCACGGCCAAUCUGCUGCCCUCUGGUGGGAUGCACUCCCAUCAGCUCACCUUUCGGACCCCAGUUACUGAGAGCAUUCUUGGCCCACAUUUGCCCAAUCCCUCACUUCCUGGGAGCCCUACUUCACAGGCCCAGGAUAAGGAAGAGGUCAGCUCAUGCCCCUUUGGGUCUAAGGCCCUGAGCCUCACAUCUACUUUACCCUUCAGCUUGGGUACCAGCCGGUCCAUCUUCUUGGAACCCCAGAAGCCGUUGAGGGGAGACCCUGCACCUGAGAAAUGCUGGGGUCAGGCACACCUGUGGGCAGGGACUCCCAGUCUGAACACAAACUCUAGACUAGGUCCUGUGCCUACCACUCUGCCCUGGGUUCGGGAUAAACCCUGGACCUUGCCUACUGACUCCUCUAUGUUGCAGAGGGAGAUACCUGAGGCUCCUAGGGCCCCUUCCAUUCCUGUGGAAAUGAUGGUCAGCAAAGAUCCAACAGGAAUAACCCCUAGGGGGCAGGGAGAGCCCUUGGACUUAGGGGCUGAGCUCCAGGGAAGGGAGCAGGAGGGGGUAUCCUCAGAGGGACCUGGAGAGGAUGAGGAUAGACCAGUGGACAGUAGGGCCAGUUUAAGUGGGGGAGACUGCAAGAGGGACAGUCAAAAGCUAAAACUGGGUCAGGAGCAUUGGGUCAGUUCCCUGAAGCCCUCUGUGGAAGAUAGCUAUGGGCGCCAAGUAAGGGAGGCAGGCUGCAUGCUUCUGGAAUGGUUUCGAUGCCUCUUCCUGGACAGUGACAAUCACAGUUUCUCCUUGCUCGACUCUGGCCUGGCCUUGACCACUGGUGGCCUUACCGUGAAUGCUGGCAGCCAGGAACACCCUGCUCUGCGUGUGGCCUUCCUAACUAUGAGGAAUGGCAGGAAGCUAGGCAUGGCAUUCCCUGGUUCCAACCUCUUCUACUACUACUCCCUGGGCCGUAACUUCUUUGUCACUGCUCAGCUCAGCAGCCACUGGUUCCGAGUUCGAGACCGUGUUACUGGUGAGCAGAUGCUGAUGAAGAAGGUGCCUGUGGUCUCCGAUUGGCAGAAGAUGCUUCAUCACUUCCUCUUCCUUCCACCGGGGCCGGGACUGCUGGUACCCUACGCAGUCCUCUAUGACCGCCAGGGCUCCCUGCUCUACCUUAUGGAGGACCCUGGAGUUCUAACUGUGGGGUGGCCACCAGCAGGUCAUCGGCUGGACAGACUGAAGUGCCUCCUGGAGAUUCUCAGGUUCCUACAGUUCUGCCAGCAGCACGGCUUGCAGCUUGAGGAAGUGGACUCAGGCCUGCUUUACACCCACCAGGUACAGAUGCCUCCCCAUCUGGAGGCUCUUAGAACCCCGGUUUUGGGGGAGGGGAAGCUGAUUGGCCAGGAAGAAGGGAAGAUUUGGGAGACCACUGCCUCCCUCUUUCAUUUUCACCUCCUGAGCUCUGUUGGUACCCCUCUUUCCCUCCAGGGAAUCUGUUUUGACCCCAGUGGACUUGGCAGCAAUGAAGGACCUUAUGUUUUUAGAAAGACUUUGAGAAAUGCACUCCGGCUGGCGUGGAACACCCCACAGGACACCCCUGCAGCGGAAGCCCUGUUGGAACAGAUGUGGAGGUGGUUGGAGGAAGACAUCAGGGGCGAUGAAGAGGACCUGGAGGAGGCCAGGACUUCUUCUCUUGACCACCCUGGCAUCCCAUGAACGGAGGCCCCUGACACACCUCAGGGAACAGCGGGACACAGCACUUUAUAGCAGCAAAGCACUCUGACCUCGUAAAGUCAGAGUUGUCUCUCCAGAUUGUUUUUCACUGCCCAUUUCAUGGAUGGGAGACAGCUUACUCUCAGGUCACCCCGGCUGGCCUGGGGCUACUCCAACGUGAAACAUAAGCAUCCUGAUUCCAGGCAUACCCAGGGACCAGCUCCUGUUUUCUUCCUGAUCUGCCUUAUGGGGGGAGAACGCUGGGUCACUCUCAGGACUUUGCCCAGGGACAUGCUGGUCACAUCUUUACUCUCAAGGAACCCCAGUGCUCACAUGCUGAGCACCCCAGCUCAGACUUCCUCACCUCAGGGUUAAGGUCCUGGGUUCUCCACCCCAGUGGCUCCCUGCUCCAAGAACUUGGAGGAGAGGGCUACUUGCCCUACCCCAAGAUACACAGGUAGGCUGGGAUCUCCUCAGCCCCUCACAGAAGUGCCCGUGGUAGGCAGGCCACCAGGGUUUUCCGGAAGAGAAGGGAACAUAGCUGGGGGCCACCAUGGUGCUGUUUUUAUUUGGAAAAUAAAUUCCCAUGGAAAACACUGCCCCUCUUCUUU